rnacentral:rRNA from 1 species
UACCCGCAGCACAAGUGGUGGUCAUUAUUAUUGGGCCUAAAGCGUCCGUAGCUGGCGUGUUAGAUGCCUGGGUAAAUCGAUGCGCUCAACGUAUCGAAUUCCGGGUAGACCGGCACGCUCGAGACCGGGAGAGGCAUGGGGUACUCGGGGGGUAGGGGUAAAAUCCUGUAAUCCUCCGGGGACGACCAGUGGCGAAGGCGCCAUGCUAGAACGGCUCUGACAGUGAGGGACGAAGCCCUGGGGCGCAAACCGG